UCAGGUUUGGGAAAGGAACUUCCAGCAUCACAGCAAAAUGCAAGGUGGAACAGAUUGUGUAGAAUAGGUAGUUAGAACCAUAUUGAAAGGGACCAUUCAAGGUAGAGUAGCCUGUUAACACCUCUGACUUUUACUUAUUGUCUCAGCAAGGGGCUAAUGAAGCAUAAAUGACAGCAAUACUAAGAACAGCCUUUCAGUUUCUUGACCUAAACCUUUUAGUCCCAGUCUACCCUAAAUUUUUUUCAGCAGUUCUGCUGCUGCUAGUUUGACACUGGUGCUUAUGUGGUAGAGGCAGUAAUGUCUUAUGCGGUAAAAAGCCUGUGCCCUAUUUACAAUGGUGCUUUCGCCGUUGCCAAUGUAGAUUAAGGGUAGGAGAACUGCAGAUGAGUUUGUGUGGACUCCGCCUAUGCAUGAAAACCUUAAGAUACAAUUGUAGAAUCUUUAGUCUUUUGAGUAUUUACUCAUGCCAGUAGUCCUAUUGACUUAAUUGGGACUACUCAUGUGAGUAAAAGUUGCAGAAUUGGGUCAUUAAUGCUUAACAUGACACGUUUAAUAUUUUUUGUAUUCAUUUGAAAGGAGUAGUUGGGCAGUCCUAUGAAUUGCCAAAAGAUGGCACUGUGUAACCAUCCUUACACCAAAUAUACCGUUUAAAGGAUAUUUUUCUUGAAGUCUGCUUAAAUACAUUAACAUUUAAGGUUAAAAAAAUAAAUUUUAGUAGAUUUAAUUUUGUCACAUAACAGAUCACACUACAAAUGGCCUUGUGGCUCAGGGACUAAUUUUUGCUUUCUUUGGGUUCAGAAUUUCAAAGGCAACACCUGUUAUGUGGAAGUAAGAUUCUGCUGAGUUUCCCCACACAAUUAAUAAAACAGAAGCAUUUCUAUACAUUAAACUUGUGUAAAUAUUCUGAAAAAUAUUGUUGCUUUCUUAAAAAUAACUGAGCUAUUAUUAGUUUAAAUAUAGCCACCAAGAAAACAAACCAAUGAUUAAUGUAGAAUGUCUUCCGAGAGUAGAGAGAUUUGUAUGACCUUGCUUAGUUACUGAUCCCUGUCGAUGUGUUUUCAUGCUUGUACCUUGACACCUUAUUUUUAAAGCCUGGAUAAACAUUUAAAUUGUGGUAGUUGCUGCAUUUUUGUUUUUUCUUUAUAGAACUAUAUAUUAAGAUGUGGAGAGCAUGAUGGCUGCCCUGCGUUACGUGCAAACUCAAUAAUUGUUCAUUCAUGAAAAAGAUGAUAUCCAAAUAAAGCUUACUGGUGUUAAGACGUUAGCAACGCAAUUCAGCUAGGGCUUUGUGUCCAAUCAGAGUGGCAUAAGUUUUUUUUUUUUCAUAAUGAUCAGCGUUAGCUAGUGGUUUUUCACUGGUGUACUAGAAGUAGAAAGUACUAAACAGUUCUGUUUUACAAGCCAUAAUGGUUUGGUGUCUUUUACCAUUUUUUGACAAGGCAGAUUUUCAUAAUUCCCAGGUUUUCACAGCCUUUGUGUUUGAAACAGUAAGGCAGACAUUAAUAACCUGUAGCUGAUUCAAGUUAAGAACGAUUUUUUUCAUGGCGUAUCUGGAUUUGUACAGUUUUACAGGAAAAUGGUUGUGUCCGGAAUUGCAUCUUUCCUUUUGGACUGGUUUGCCAGUUUUUAUUCAUUCGUGGUCUACAACACUGGUUACCAAACUACAGAAGUGGUGGGAGACCUGCAGGAGAACAAUCCAUAGAUGGAUCAACUUCUUUUUCGAGGGGGGAAAACUGUGCUUUAAGAAACAUUAGUGAUUAAAGGAUUUCCAUUCUC